ACCAAACAGCUAGCUCAACCAGAAAUGGUUAGACUAACAAUGUUAACUAACCGAUCAUAAACUAACCUCAACAACCAAACCAUUUGACCACCCCAGUACGGGCGACAGAAAAGGACCCAAGAAGCUAUAGACAAAGUACCGCAAGGGAAUGCUGAAAGAGGGCUGAAAAAGCGCACUAAAGUAUAUGAAAGCAGAGGCUAGACCUCGUACCUUUUGCAUCAUGAUCUAGCCAGUAACCCCAAGCAAAGAGAACUCUAGUUUGAACCCCCGAAACCUAGAUGAGCUACUCCGGGACAGCCUAUUAUAGGGCCAACCCAUCUCUGUGGCAAAAGAGUGGGAAGAUCCCCGAGUAGAGGUGAAACACCUAACGAGUCGGGUUAUAGCUGGUUGCUCAGGAAAUGAAUAGAAGUUCAGCCCCGUCGGACCCUAAUCCGGAAUGGUUCUACCCAAACCAAGUAUAAGGAUACCUGCGGGAGUUAGUCAAAGGAGGUACAGCUCCCUUAACAAAGGAUACAACCUUCUCAGGAGGCUAAGGAAUACAUCAAAUGAAAGCACAGGUUUCAGUGGGCCUGAAAGCAGCCAUCUGUACAGAAAGCGUCAAAGCUCAUACCAGCUCAAGCUUAUUAUAAUGUUAAGCACCUUCCUAUGCCCCUCAACAAUACUGAGCCCUCCUAUGCUCCCAUAGGAGAGACCCUGCUAGAACGAGUAAUAAGAAGCAAGAACUUCUCCCUGCACAUGUGUAAGUCGAGCUGGACCCACCGUCGACAACUAACGAACCCAACGGAAGAGGACAAUGCGUUACCGCCACUAUAGGCCAAGGAGAACACGCACCCCACCCCAUCGUUAACCCCACACAGGAGUGCCUUAGUCACGGGAAAGACUUAAAGAAUAAAAAGGAACUCGGCAAACCCAGACCCCGCCUGUUUACCAAAAACAUCGCCUCCUGCCCCUAAUUAUAUAGGAGGUCCCGCCUGCCCUGUGACCAAAAGUUUAACGGCCGCGGUAUCAUAACCGUGCAAAGGUAGCGCAAUCAAUUGUCUUUUAAAUGGGGACCUGUAUGAAUGGCAUAACGAGGGUCUAGCUGUCUCUUUUUUCUGGUCAAUGAAACUGAUCUGCCCGUGCAGAAGCGGGCAUGCUAACACAAGACGAGAAGACCCUAUGGAGCUUUAGACGCCCACCAACCGCGAGCAGCGCUCCCCUUAACGGGGGCCCAAACAACGCGGCCCUGGUAUAAACGUCUUAGGUUGGGGCGACCGCAGGGGAGAACAAAGCCCCUGAGAGGGUUGGGAACGGCCCUAAAACUGAGAGCUACAGCUCCAAGUCGCAAAACGUUUGACCGAUAAUGAUCCGGCUUACUGCCGAUCAACGGACCAAGUUACCCUAGGGAUAACAGCGCAAUCCUCUCCCAGAGCCCAUAUCGACGAGGGGGUUUACGACCUCGAUGUUGGAUCAGGACAUCCUAAUGGUGCAGCCGCUAUUAAGGGUUCGUUUGUUCAACGAUUAAAGUCCUACGUGAUCUGAGUUCAGACCGGAGUAAUCCAGGUCAGUUUCUAUCUGUGACGCCACCUUUCCUAGUACGAAAGGACCGGAAUGAUGAGGCCCAUACCUUUGGCACGCCUCCCUCCCAACCCGCUGAAGACAACUAAAGCGGGAUAGGGGAGCAACUUACCGCCCGAGAAAAGGGCAU
rnacentral:rRNA from 1 species